UACGUAGGGGGCGAGCGUUGUCCGGAGUUACUGGGCGUAAAGCGCUUGUAGGCGGUCCACCAAGUUUGGGGUGACAGUUGCCGACUUAAUCGGCAAAGUGCCUCAAAGACUGGCGGACUUGAGGGCCACAGAGGGACAUGGAACUCCAGGUGUAGUGGUGAAAUGCGUAGAUAUCUGGAAGAACACCAAAGGCGAAGGCGGCGACCUGGUCCAUUACUGACGCUGAGGCGCGAAAGCGUGGGGAGCAAACAGG
rnacentral:rRNA from 1 species